rnacentral:rRNA from 1 species
GAUGAACGCUGGCGGCGUGCCUAAUACAUGCAAGUCGAGCGAACAGACGAGGAGCUUGCUCCUCUGACGUUAGCGGCGGACGGGUGAGUAACACGUGGAUAACCUACCUAUAAGACUGGGAUAACUUCGGGAAACCGGAGCUAAUACCGGAUAAUAUAUUGAACCGCAUGGUUCAAUAGUGAAAGACGGUUUUGCUGUCACUUAUAGAUGGAUCCGCGCCGCAUUAGCUAGUUGGUAAGGUAACGGCUUACCAAGGCAACGAUGCGUAGCCGACCUGAGAGGGUGAUCGGCCACACUGGAACUGAGACACGGUCCAGACUCCUACGGGAGGCAGCAGUAGGGAAUCUUCCGCAAUGGGCGAAAGCUUGACGGAGCAACGCCGCGUGAGUGAUGAAGGUGUUCGGAUCGUAAAACUCUGUUAUUAGGGAAAAACAAAUGUGUAAGUAAAUAUGCACGUCUUGACGGUACCUAAUCAAAAAGCCACGGCUAACUACGUG